UGGGGAAUCUUGGACAAUGGGCGCAAGCCUGAUCCAGCCAUGCCGCGUGAGUGAAGAAGGCCUUCGGGUUGUAAAGCUCUUUUUACCAGGGACGAUAAUGACGGUACCUGGAGAAUAAGCCCCGGCAAACUUCGUGCCAGCAGCCGCGGUAAUACGAAGGGGGCUAGCGUUGUUCGGAAUUACUGGGCGUAAAGCGCACGUAGGUGGAUAGUUAAGUCAGGGGUGAAAUCCUGGGGCUCAACCCCAGAACUGCCUUUGAUACUGGCUGUCUCGAGGUCGAGAGAGGUUGGUGGAAUUCCUAGUGUAGAGGUGAAAUUCGUAGAUAUUAGGAAGAACACCAGUGGCGAAGGCGGCCAACUGGCUCGAUACUGACGCUGAGGUGCGAAAGCGUGGGGAGCAAACAGGAUUAGAUACCCCCGUAGUCCCUGAGCGGGCUGGCAAGGCGCAU
rnacentral:rRNA from 1 species